CCUACGUGAGGCUGCAGUGGGGAAUAUUGCACAAUGGGGGAAACCCUGAUGCAGCGACGCCGCGUGAGUGAAGAAGUAUUUCGGUACGUAAAGCUCUAUCAGCAGGGAAGAAGAAAGACGGUACCUGCCUAAGACGCUCCGGCUAACUACGUGCCAGCAGCCGCGGUAAUACGUAGGGGGCAAGCGUUAUCCGGAUUUACUGGGUGUAAAGGGACCGUAGGCGGCUGUGUAAGUAUGAAGUGAAAGCCCAGGGCUCAACCCUGGGACUGCUUUGGAAACUGUGGAGCUAGAGUGCUGGAGAGGUGAGUGGAAUUCCUAGUGUAGCGGUGAAAUGCGUAGAUAUUAGGAGGAACACCAGGGGCGAAAGCGGCUUACUGGACAGUAACUGACGUUGAGGCUCGAAAGCGUGGGGAGCAAACAGGAUUAGAUACCCUUGUAGUC
rnacentral:rRNA from 1 species